GACGAACGCUGGCGGCGUGCUUAACACAUGCAAGUCGAACGGUGAAGCUCCAGCUUGCUGGAGUGGAUCAGUGGCGAACGGGUGAGUAACACGUGAGCAACCUGCCCCAGACUCUGGAAUAAGCGCUGGAAACGGCGUCUAAUACUGGAUACGAGAUCAAGCCGCAUGGUUAUGGUCUGGAAAGUUUUUCGGUUUGGGAUGGGCUCGCGGCCUAUCAGCUUGUUGGUGAGGUAAUGGCUCACCAAGGCGACGACGGGUAGCCGGCCUGAGAGGGCGACCGGCCACACUGGGACUGAGACACGGCCCAGACCCCUACGGGAGGCAGCAGUGGGGAAUAUUGCACAAUGGGCGAAAGCCUGAUGCAGCGACGCCGCGUGAGGGAUGACGGCCUUCGGGUUGUAAACCUCUUUCAGCAGGGAAGAGGCGAAAGUGACGGUACCUGCAGAAGAAGCACCGGCUAACUACGUG
rnacentral:rRNA from 1 species